rnacentral:lncRNA from 1 species
ACGUGUUGUAAGUGCCAAGAAAAAGCGUGUAACUACGUAGAACACAAACUCCCUCCCAAAUAUAGUAGUAAGACAUUAUCACUCUCACUCACCCAACGUAACAUGCAACCAAAUGUUGAGAAUCCAUCUCCAUUUCUUUCUCACCUUAGCAAACUGAAAAAAGAAAAACUUCACAAACAAAGCAGAGAAACCAAAGAAAGAUGAGAACACCAACAUCAUCAAAAACAAAAGUGACAGCAUGUUGUAGCAAAGUAGGGUUAAAGAGGGGGCCGUGGACACCAGAAGAAGACGAGAUUUUAACAAAUUAUAUAAAUAAAGAAGGCGAAGGACGGUGGCGUACUCUGCCAAAGAAGGCGGGGCUCCUCCGUUGCGGGAAGAGCUGCCGCCUCCGGUGGAUGAAUUACCUCCGUCCUUCCGUCAAACGCGGCCAUAUUUCGCCUGAUGAAGAAGAUCUCAUCCUUCGCCUCCAUCGCCUCCUUGGCAACAGGUCCUCCAAUAAUUUUUCUUCAUAUAUUAAUUGUUGUUUAUAUUAUUGGCUUAUUAUUCUCUUCCUCAACUCUGAUUUAUAUCACUUUUAGUUAUAUUAUAUUUUUCUCUCUUUUUUUUUUAUUGUGAGAUUAAUAGAACUCACACAUCGGUCUAUAUUGUGUUGGGGAUUUUGACCGAUACCACUAACCUAUAAGCCUGAAUGGUUUUCUUUUACUAAUCUUUUUAUCGGCUCUUGAGUUUUUAUUAGGGUUUGCAUUAUCUUUGAGUGUAAUGUUUUGUUUAAAUUUGGUUUUAGUGUCGGCCUAACCCCACACCACAAUGGUGGUUUUUGAGUAAAAAAAUAGCUUUGGUUUUAGUGUAAUAUUGGAAGAUUGAUUUUGAGAUUAGAGAAAUUUUCGAAAGUACAUUUUAUGUUGAUUUUUUAUGAAAAUUUAGGUUUAUUUUUAUUUUUAAUUUGAAAGGAAAAUAUGUUUUCAUUUUAUUUGUGGAAAUUAAAGUAUAUCUAUUAAUUAAAUAGCUGUUAUUUUUUAUUUUUUGAAUAAAUCAAAGAGGCCCUAAUAUAUAAUCUUACUUUACAAUUCCAAAUGUCUAAAUGAAAGUUCAAUUGUGAAGUCAGAGAUCUUGAGAUUGAACUCAACCCCCACAAAAAAAAAAGGACAAUUUAGCACUCACAAAUGUUAUUCUUUUCCUUCUAGUCUAUCCUUUAAAUCUUUAAUAUUUAUUUAAUUAAAUAUGAAUUUUCUUUCUUAUAUUUUUUAUUACUUUGGAAAUGUUGUAGGUGGUCCUUGAUAGCUGGGAGAAUUCCAGGAAGAACAGAUAAUGAGAUAAAGAAUUAUUGGAAUACUCACCUUAGCAAGAAGUUAAUCAGCCAAGGAAUAAAUCCAAGAACUCAUAAGCCAUUAAUAAACCAUAAUUGCUCA